CAUAUCAAUAAGCGGAGGAAAAGAAACCAACAGGGAUUGCCCUAGUAACGGCGAGUGAAGCGGCAACAGCUCAAAUUUGAAAUCUGGCGCAAGCCCGAGUUGUAAUUUGUAGAGGAUGCUUCAGGGCAGCGGCCGGUCUAAGUUCCUUGGAACAGGACGUCAUAGAGGGUGAGAAUCCCGUAUGCGACCGGUUGGCACCCGUCACGUAGCUCCUUCGACGAGUCGAGUUGUUUGGGAAUGCAGCUCUAAAUGGGAGGUAAAUUUCUUCUAAAGCUAAAUACCGGCCAGAGACCGAUAGCGCACAAGUAGAGUGAUCGAAAGAUGAAAAGCACUUUGGAAAGAGAGUUAAAAAGCACGUGAAAUUGUUGAAAGGGAAGCGCAUGCAACCAGACUUGUCGGCGGUGUUCCGCCGGUCUUCUGACCGGAUUACUCGCCGCCGACAGGCCAGCAUCAUCUGGGCGCGCCGGAUAAAGGCGCGGGGAAUGUAGCUCCUCGGAGUGUUAUAGCCCCGCGCACAAUACGGCGCCGCCCGGGUGAGGUCCGCGCUUCGGCUAGGAUGCUGGCGUAAUGGUUGUCUGCGGCCCGUCUUGAAACACGGACCAAGGAGUCUAACAUCUAUGCGAGUGUUCGGGUGUCAAACCCCUACGCGUAAUGAAAGUGAACGGAGGUGGGAAGCGCAAGCUGCACCAUCGACCGAUCCUGAUGUCUUCGGAUGGAUUUGAGUAAGAGCAUAGCUGUUGGGACCCGAAAGAUGGUGAACUAUGCCUGAAUAGGGUGAAGCCAGAGGAAACUCUGGUGGAGGCUCGCAGCGGUUCUGACGUGCAAAUCGAUCGUCAAAUUUGGGUAUAGGGGCGAAAGACUAAUCGAACCAUCUAGUAGCUGGUUCCUGCCGAA
rnacentral:rRNA from 1 species